rnacentral:misc_RNA from 1 species
GGAAUUUGAUUUUAUUGAUGCUCCUAGUGGAAAGGCAGUUAACAUGGCCAUCAGGAACCUUGUGCAGUUAGGCGCUGUUGUCCGCAGAGAUGAUACUUUUGAAUUAACUUUGGACGGGCAUUACUUGGUUAAGUUGGGUAUGGAGCCCCGACUUGGGAAGAUUAUUCUUGAAAGCUGCCGUUAUGGUUUGCGUAUGGAAGGAGUUGCUCUUGCCGCUGUUAUGGCAAAUGCAAGUAGCAUAUUUUGCAGAGUUGGUACCAGUGAUGACAAACAAAAAUCAGAUUGCCUUAAGGUACAAUUCUGCCAUCGUGAUGGAGAUCUCUUCACAUUGCUUACUGUGUACAGGGAGUGGGAAAGUGUAUCUCCAGAUAAUAGAAAUAAGUGGUGUUGGAACAAUAGUAUCAAUGCCAAAACUAUGAGAAGAUGC